AAGGUAAGUUUCCAACUUUGAAUAGAGUCUAUUGAGCAAGAGAUUGGGUCAGUGAUAUUGCUUGCAUUCCCUGCUUAAUGGAUGUUUUGUCUCUUGGGAGCCCUGCCAUUGGUUUGUGUUAUCCACAACUUGCUCCCUGUUGUUGCUUGAACUUUGGAAUUCUUCAUUUUUGUAAAGAUUGUGAUAAUGAUGCCAAAGACAGAACAAGGACAGGUAAGUAGGACAAGAACUGUAGUUUAUCAUAAUAUAUACCGGUGGGGGUUAGCAAUGGUGAUUUGCAUAUUGAAAGCUGUGCAUGAUUAGUACAUAACCUUGUCUCACUAGAAGUGAAAACACAACUGUCAAGGAUAAGUGUCUUGGUACUCUGGCAAUGUCCAUUAAAACCAGAGCUCUGGAAGUAGUUAAAGCAUCUGUUGGCAUUGGUGAUCUAACAGGCCCAAAUAUUAUACUAAUAUAAUCUGAUUAUGCAUGUACAUUUCCACUUAGCUUUAAACACAUAAUGCUGACAAGCAGUUUCUUCUAAUGGACAAUCAUGUUUUGGGAGGAUGUGCACAAUAUAAGUCAAAGUACAUAAAUUUAUGUUUUUCUGGUGCUCUCAGCUGAGAUACAAUGUGGAAGUGAACGGAAUUGUACUUCUAAUUGGGCAGUGCCUUUUCAUCAUAGCCAAGAAAGAAAGGGAGAAGAAAAUUAAUAGGAUGGAUCUCUCUUUGAAUGCAUAUGGAAGAAAAAAGAAGCAUAUUAUAAUUUAAUUAUGCUUUAAGAAAGAUUUCAACGUUAAAUGAAUGGUGACAAGACUUUUUCAUAUUUCCAGG
rnacentral:lncRNA from 1 species